GGUGACAGCCCCGUACACAAAAAUACACAUAUUGUGAGCUCGAUGAGUAGGGCGGGACACGUGGUAUCCUGUCUGAAUAUGGGGGGACCAUCCUCCAAGGCUAAAUACUCCUGACUGACCGAUAGUGAACCAGUACCGUGAGGGAAAGGCGAAAAGAACCCCGGCGAGGGGAGUGAAAAAGAACCUGAAACCGUGUACGUACAAGCAGUGGGAGCACGCUUAGGCGUGUGACUGCGUACCUUUUGUAUAAUGGGUCAGCGACUUAUAUUCUGUAGCAAGGUUAACCGAAUAGGGGAGCCGAAGGGAAACCGAGUCUUAACUGGGCGUUAAGUUGCAGGGUAUAGACCCGAAACCCGGUGAUCUAGCCAUGGGCAGGUUGAAGGUUGGGUAACACUAACUGGAGGACCGAACCGACUAAUGUUGAAAAAUUAGCGGAUGACUUGUGGCUGGGGGUGAAAGGCCAAUCAAACCGGGAGAUAGCUGGUUCUCCCCGAAAGCUAUUUAGGUAGCGCCUCGUGAAUUCAUCUCCGGGGGUAGAGCACUGUUUCGGCA
rnacentral:rRNA from 1 species